GACGAACGCUGGCGGCGUGCUUAACACAUGCAAGUCGAACGGAAAGGCCCUGCUUUUGUGGGGUGCUCGAGUGGCGAACGGGUGAGUAACACGUGAGUAACCUGCCCUUGACUUUGGGAUAACUUCAGGAAACUGGGGCUAAUACCGGAUAGGAGCUCCUGCUGCAUUGUGGGGGUUGGAAAGUUUCGGCGGGUGGGGAUGGACUCGCGGCUUAUCAGCUUGUUGGUGGGGGAGUGGCUUACCAAGGCUUUGACGGGUAGCCGGCCUGAGAGGGUGACCGGCAUCAAUGGGACUGAGAUACGGCCCAGACUCCUACGGGAGGCAGCAGUGGGGAAUAUUGCACAAUGGGCGGAAGCCUGAUGCAGCAACGCCGCGUGCGGGAUGACGGCCUUCGGGUUGUAAACCGCUUUCGCCUGUGACGAAGCGUGAGUGACGGUAAUGGGUAAAGAAGCACCGGCUAACUACGUG
rnacentral:rRNA from 1 species